UCUGAAGCUGUCUUCCAAGUUGGAAAGACUUGAUGGAGAGAGUUUUUGCUGUUGACUGGUGUGCAUACUAUUCACAGCAAAGAAAAAGAAAGACAGAAAGAAAGAAAAAAAAAACAGGCUGUGUAAUUCUGGAACUCUUUGCUUUUGAAGUUGAUAGGACAUCAGGCGACAACAGAAGUUUCCCUUAAAAGCAGAAUCACAAAAGAACUUUAUCAAUAUCAAGAAGCAAUGCAUUUAUUCAAAAGAAAACAACCCAGGAAAGUUGCAUGUUUCAAAACUCAGCCCAAACUGUGACCUGGUUUAUUCAACACUGCCAGAGUAUAACAGGCUCUAAAAUUGACUCUGCUAUUCUAUACACAUUAAUGCUGGCCACACCUUGUAACAAUAGCUGAUUUGCCUAGAAGCUAAAAUAAUGACAGUGCAGGAAAAGACAGCACCCUAGAAGUGGGUGAAUGAAAAGAAGAAAUGGAGCUGCCAUCAUUUGAAGGAUUUUUCCUAAAAAGGUCCACAGGGAGGCCUUAGACAAUGUUGACUACUUCCGUUGCCUUGAGAGUGUCCUGUCAGCCAAAGCAGCUAUUGAAGAAGAGAUCCAGUACCACCUCCAGUGUGCUAGCACAGCCUUCUGUUGCUUCUAGAACAAAAAUGUUUUCAAGUACAAUAAUGUUAGAUCUCACACCAAACUCAUGGUUUACAGAGCUGUCUUUCCCAUCCUCCCGACAUAACUCUGAGACGUGGGCUGUGUACAGCAGACACCUGAAGGUACUG